CAUGGACUCCCUGAUGGCUACAGCAACCUCACAGGGCUCGGCUUUGACUCGGACUGCAGGCAUUCCAUCAAGCAUUAACAUCCUGUUCUCUGGCCGGCUGUGGAGGAAUAGAGGAAGGGGGAAGAGGUGUAAGACGGACGCUGAGUUUGACCAUGACUAAGCAUCUUAGUUUGAAAGUAUGAGCUGAAGACCCCAGGAAGAAUAGCUGUUGACGAGGCAGCUAAUGUGGAUCCAUAAUAAAAUACAAAGCUUUCAAAUAAA